CUGCCCCAAAGACCCGGAAGCAAUGAGUAAGAGCGGCCAGGAUGCGGGAGGGUCCCAGAGGACGGUGUCAAGGGAGCUCACAAAGCUGGGGGCGCCACUUCAGCUAGAGGUGUGAGUGACCACCCUGGUGGGAAAAAGAGGGAUCCCUGGAAGGGGUCAGGGCGGCGCCAGGAAACCGCUCUGGACCAGCUACGGGGAGCCGGGAGGGGGCGCUCUUCCCCGGACGCGGCUCCGCGCGCGCUAGAGGGGUAAAGAGCUGUAUUUUGUGAGGUUCCGUCAGGAUCUAGAUGUACAUCAGCUCACUUUGGACAAGUCAUUUUCUGCGGUGCAAACACCUCUAUUACCUUUCAGAUAUUUUCAUCUUAAAAAUAAAAGAACUUAAGAGGUGUA